GCAGGAAGUGAGAACAGCGCUGGGCUCUCGUGCCUGCUGGGAGAACCUGCAGAAGUGGAGAUAAAGAAACAGGCUCAGAGAGGAAGAGAUGGUUAACAGCUAGAGCUGUCCAACAAUGGACCAGACCAGGUGGCCUCAUGAGGUGGUGAGUUCCCUGUCACUCUGGGUAUUCAAGCAGAGAUUGAAGGGCUAGCUGUCAAAGGGCUAUGGAGGAAAUCCUGCAGAAGGUGGGCUUUGGACUACAUGGCCAUGGGGUCCUUCCCAACUUUGAGCUUGUGUGAGUCUUUGGGAAAGAUGGACUAAGCUGGAUUUCAGGGGCAGGGCCCCAGGCCCCAAGCGGAAGGAUGGCUAAGUGAGAGUGGUCACUACACUGGUGGCUUCCAAACCAUGGCUGCAGACCCCUGGGGCACUCUGCAGGGACUUCAGAGUCCACACAUGUUUGACUUAAAGUUCACUUUCCGCCGGGUGCGGUGGGUCACGCCUGUAAUUCUAGCACUUUGAGAGGCCAAGGUGGGCGGAUCACUUGAGGCCAGGAGUUUGAGACCAGCCUGGCCAAGAUGGUGAAACCCCGACUCUACUAAAAAUACAAAAAUUAGAAGGCCUGGUGGCACAUGCCUGUAAUCCCAACUACUUGGGAGGCUGAGGCAGGAGAAUUUCUUAAACCCCGGAGGCGGAGGUUGCAGUGAGCUGAGAUGGCGCCACUGCACUCCAGCCUGGGUGACAGAGCAAGACUCUGUCUCAGGAAAAAAAAAAGUUCAUUUUCAAUACAGUUUUUAUGAUGAAAUAGUAUCUAAAAACAAAUACAGGCUGGCAAUUAUGUUAUACAAUUUUUAACCCACAUAAAAUCACUAGAAAGGCUGCUUUGGGUGGCUCUGGGGCUAAAGAUUCUCCUACAUCUGCAUUUAAUUGAGAGCCUUGCAAGGAGGGAAAAUAUUGAAAAACAAAAGCCCCUCUUUUAACUUGCACUUCCUUAUCUGUAUGAAUAAGUGAUGGCGUACAACACAACACAGUGCAGAAAGAACUCGUAGGCCGAGCCUGAUGCAGCAUGGAAACCGUCACAGUAAUCCCUUAUUUCUGUCUCACAGUCAGCAAAACAGCCUUGUUCGCAUCUGAUCUAAUCUUAUUAUAAUGCUGUCUUCUAUUACAGUAAGAAUAAGGCGUGCAUGUGAACAUAUCCGGCGUUCGUAUUCAUAGAAUAUGACUUUUAUCUGUUUUACACAUUGUGAUUCCUCUUAGACUUCAUUUGAGAAAAGAGUUUUACUGUUGAACAUACUGGGACGCCCCCAUGGUGAAGUGGCUGAUGCUGCCACUCCAAGUUCUUUCUAAGCAAGGUGGGGUGGGGGUAUGGGACCGGGGCCUGCAGCCCCUGCCUCUCCUUACUCUCAGGCCGCCACCUCAUGACAGCACCCAUGGUGGACGCCUGUCCCUGGGCCCCAAGCCUGACCCCACUGCUGUGGGUGCAGGGGUGAAUGGGGUAGCUGGAGCCCCUGGCUGACUCUUCCCCAGGAGGGCAGUGUGAGGAAGAGGCAGUGGUGGUGAUGGAGGAUGCUCAGCAGCCCACCUGAAGGCCUAUGUGAUGCCGCGCACGGGAGGCCACGUGUAAGCAGGAGUGAGGCGGGAGCAAGGAGCCACAGAUACAGCAAGCAUGGGAAGACGUGAGUCCUCGGCCAGGGUUGAAGGGCCGGUGGACAGGAGCUGGUCUCCACCUGGGUGGGAAACACCUCCGCUCCUGUUCCGUGGAUCUGACCAAGAGGCCCAGAAGUUGUGCUGCCCUGGGCACUGCACCAUCUCCCUGCUAGAAUUCCCUUCGGAUCUCGCCAGUCUGCCAGGGCUGUUUAUGCAGUCUGAUGAUGCCUAUGGCCUCAUUUCUAUCACAUGUGGCUGCCCCUAUCGACUCUCCGACCCUCAUACCAAAAUAACCCACCUGGCCUGACCAGUGAGACCCAAGGCCUCCUCUCCACACAGGCCCCGGGGAUGGCCCUGAUGAGCCAAAGUUUGGGGGUCAAAACACCAACCUUAUCUCAUAUAAUUCAUUCCUCUCCCUACCCUUGAUCAACCCUGGUCUUAAGUCUGCUGCUCCAACCCCCCAAGCCGCCUCCUGCCCCAGGGCCUUUGAACCUACUCAGUCCUCCUGGAGCUUCUUUCCUUCAGAGCUUUGCACAGUGUGCUGCUUCUUAGCCUCAGGUCACACCUCAGGUGUCACCUCCCCAGACAGCCUCCCCUGACCACCUCUUCCAGUGUAACUACCCCUACUCUGUCACCAUUCACACAUCCACUUGGAUUAUCUUUUUUCCAUGGCAGCUCGCAUUUUCUGCGAUUAUCUUGUUUACAUCUUUUCUAGGGUAUUUUGUUUUUCUGCAGCAGAAUGUCAGCUCCACAAGGAGCUGUCUUGUUCAUUCCUGUGUCUGCUGUCCCUAGCACCAUGACUGCACACAGUAGGCACCCAGCC
rnacentral:lncRNA from 1 species